UAAUACGUUGGAACUUUCAAAUUCUCUCGUUAGUUGUCAUUUUGUCUUACUUUUUAUCUAUUGUAAAAUUGUUAAGUCAUGCGGGGAAAAAGUGGAAAAAAAAAAUAGAAAAAAAAAAGAAAAAAAAAAAGAAAAAUGGAAUUAAUCUUAAGCAAUACAUUCAUCGGGUAACCUUAGUGAAAUUGUGAAAUUACGCGAAGUAAAGAUAAUAAUCUAAUUACGUGAUAUUUGAAGGUUACGUAAUAUUUCGAGAAUUUAGAAAGAUCAAUUGCUAUGCCUCGACAUACGUAUUAUGCAACGAUCUCUUCAAGCGAAGACAUGAAAAUAAACGGCGCGCUGCCUGGCCCUCCGAAACCCCCCUUCGGUCCCUUCGCCACGCCAUCAUUAGUCAAUGUCGACGCUUGUAGCACAUGGAGCCCCGCAGAAUGCAGCAUCUGCCUGAUAUCCCCUAGUAUCUCUCUCCUACAAAUCUGUGCCACGGAUCCUGCCGCAAAGUCACUCAAGCCAUCGUAUAUUCCUCUCGUACAAGGCAUCUUUCUAGUUUUGUUGAUAUUUCUUAUGGAUUAAU